UCGAGGAUCUUUGGCAAUGAGCGCAAGCUUGACCAAGCGACGCCGCGUGUGCGAUGAAGGCCUUCGGGUUGUAAAGCACUGUCGAGGGGGAUAAAAGCGCAAGCUUGAUUGAUCCCUGGAGGAAGCACGGGCUAAGUUCGUGCCAGCAGCCGCGGUAAGACGAACCGUGCAAACGUUGUUCGGAAUCACUGGGCUUAAAGGGCGCGUAGGCGGCUUGCCAAGUCAGUGGUGAAAUCCUGCAGCUUAACUGCAGAAGUGCCUUUGAUACUGGCAAGCUCGAGGGAGGUAGGGGUAUGUGGAACUUCUGGUGGAGCGGUGAAAUGCGUUGAUAUCAGAAGGAACGCCGGUGGCGAAAGCGACGUACUGGACCUCUUCUGACGCUGAGGCGCGAAAGCUAGGGGAGCAAACGGGAUUAGAUACCCCCGUAGUCC
rnacentral:rRNA from 1 species